GACGAACGCUGGCGGCGUGCUUAACACAUGCAAGUCGAACGAGAGCGUAGAGAAAGCUUGCUUUUUCUACAAUCUAGUGGCAAACGGGUGAGUAACGCGUAAACAACCUGCCCUACGGAUGGGGACAACAGCUGGAAACGGCUGCUAAUACCGAAUACGUUCCGAAAGUCGCAUGACUAUCGGAAGAAAGGAUGGCCUCUAUUUAUAAGCUAUCGCCGGAGGAGGGGUUUGCGUCUGAUUAGCUAGUUGGAGGGGUAACGGCCCACCAAGGCGACGAUCAGUAGCCGGUCUGAAAGGAUGAACGGCCACAUUGGAACUGAGACACGGUCCAGACUCCUACGGGAGGCAGCAGUGGGGAAUCUUCCGCAAUGGGCGAAAGCCUGACGGAGCAACGCCGCGUGAGUGAAGACGGCCUUCGGGUUGUAAAGCUCUGUUAUACGGGACGAAUAAUCUUGUGGUUAAUACCCAUGAGAAGUGACGGUACCGUAAGAGAAAGCCACGGCUAACUACGUG
rnacentral:rRNA from 1 species